rnacentral:lncRNA from 1 species
CACCUGGGUUGAGAGGGAGCAGCAGUGCUAUGGAUCUUCCUCAGAAGAACAUGAAGUUGCUUCUGUGGAACUGGUUAUCUGCCAUGGCCUCAACAAUCCAUAAUCCAGUCAUGGAGAGGAUUCCCCAUGGUCAGAAGUCAACUUGCACAUCUAGUUAAAGUCCAAGGUAACUGCAAACAGUGGAACAUGGCUUAGGUUUUGAAGCCUCGUUAUUGGAUAUAGUCUUUAUCCUAAGUUCUGAGGAGCCAUAAAAAUAGUUUUCCAGAAUGGAUUUUUUUUUUUAGAUAAAAAGAUUAUCUACCUUUUGGGGGUGGAAUAUCUUAUUUUGUUUUUGAAUUUGUCUUUGUUAUAAAGAAGAGUAAAACAAAGAUGUGUAAGUGUGAGUCUGUGUGAGCUAGUUUCUGAUGUCUAAACAGCAAUUACCUAUGGAGAAUACAUCAUUCAAAGUAAUAGCUUUUGUUCAAACAUUUUUAGGAAGUAAUAAUACAUUUCUUCCUGGACAGUUGAUAAAAGUUCCAUCCAUAGCAUAUUUCCAGAAUAUCCCUAGAUGAUGAAUUUAAACAUGCCUUCUCAGAAAUUAAAUCUUUUGACUUUGAACCACAAGUUAGCAUUUAUUUGUUGAAGAGAAGAAUGUGUGGUGAUGUCUUACCUGAAUGUUGGUUGUUACUGAUAUAUUACAAUUUUCAAGGUGAUAAGCUUGAGCUAUUAAAUAAUAAAAAGUAUUAAAGUA